CUUUGGAGACAAAAGGGAAGAGACUGAAGAAAGUCACCGCUUGCCUGAUUAGCUGGACUCACUUCACACUACCCUGGUCAACCUUGCAGCUAGCUUACAGGGAGUCAGGGUGUGGAGCUAACUAGUGUUUCCCUCAGCUGAAGGAGGCUUCAGUGUCCUCUUGAGUAAAGGGGAAAUGACCUCACUGUCACCUGUGUGCAAGAAUAGAUAACAGGUGUUCUUCCCCAUGCUUUUACACAUUUCCCAGGGGGUGGGGAGGCCUGUGUGAGCACACUGAUGCUCAGGUGGGUUUAAUGUGCUCUCCAGACUCACACUUCAUUAUGCUGUCAGGUUUCAUGACACUUGCUGCCUCACACAAGACAGUUCUGCUGUUUGGCUGCAGGGAUCAGCUGUGUGCAUUGUCUUUCCCUCAGUCAUCAGAUAGACAUAACAGUACUAAGUUUAGUAAGACUUGACUGAUAACACUGGCCUCUUAGUCCUGGCUGUGGAUCUGGAGCCCCUUGUGUAGUUGAUUAAAAACUUGCAUCCCUGGCCCACUCUGUAGUUCUGAUCUUCUAGCUGAUGAAUCCACAGGGUUCAGAAAUCCUGGGAAUUUAUUUUAUAAAAAAGGAAAAGAGCAGCUAAAUAACUUGCACACAUAUAAAUGAGUCUUUCUGGAACAGUGGUGCUGUUACUUCUAGAGCAAAUUAUGCUGUAAACAAAAGUGGGUCUCUCCAUGCUGACUGGCCUACAGCCCCAGCCAUGGCUCUGCACAGCUGUCCUCAGUGAGAAUCGGCCAUCACAAAAGCCAGGCUUGUGCUUACACCGUCAUCAGGUUCAGGAAGUAGAGGGCUCUCUUUUCAUUUCUGUUGCUGUGAUUUAAAAACAAACAACUGACAGAAAAGCAACUUAGGGGAGAAAGGGUUUAUUUCAGCUCAAAAUUCCCAGUUAUAGUCCAUCACUUUGGGGAUGUCAUCGCAGAGCUUGAGACAGAUCAGAGAACCACAAACUUAGUGCUUAGUGCUCAGCUAGUGUUUUAUAGUCAAAGAAUCAGGGAGUGGAGCUGCCCACUUUGAGGCUGGAUCUUUCGUAUCAGUUAUGGUAAUAAGACAGUCCCUGACGGAUAUGCCUACAGAACAACCUACAAGGUCCCUUAUUGAGACCUUCCUUCCAGGUACUGUUGUAUAAACAGAGUGAAGGACCACAAGGGUCUUUCUUGCUUUCUCAUUCUGUCACCUUUCUCCUUUCAUUUCUUGUACAUUUAGUUUUCCUUUCUCUUUUCUUUACAGUUCUGACCACCGGCCCCCACCCCACCUCAUCACGGAUGUUUACAGUUUGUCUGUCUUCACAGUGUAAUAUGCUUACAAAUCUUCAAGGGGCUUAGCACAUAAUCUGAGUUACUAGAGUUCUUAAAAAAGAAGAAGAAGAAGAAGAAGAAGAAGAAGAAGAAGAAGAAGAAGAAGAAGAAGAAGAAGAAGAAGAAGGAAAGAAAAGAAACCAAAGAAAUUCAAGAUAUAACAUUUAAACUUGUGAUUUAUUUAUUUUGAAAAUUUGUUGCUGAACCUUAAAGGCUUGACUAAGAUAGCAAGCAUUGCCAUACCCAAAGCAGUGUUUGGUCUUCCUUAGGCAGGUGCCUGCCCAGUCCUUGUCUUCAUCAGAGUUCACACACACACCUAAAAACCAAACCCACAGCCCUGGCCCAUGACAUUGUCCCCCGCCUAGCUACGCCUUGCUUGCCUCCUGGCCCCUCUCCACACCCUCUGACACCUCUGUUCUGCCCUCUGUUCUUUGUACCAGCUUAGCCCACCUCCCCUGAGAUUCUAGAGGCCAGCUGAGAUUCCCUUCUCACAAACCCUUCCUUCUCUUGUGCUUUAUAGUCCAGUUGACUCCAGUUCACUUUCUCACAGGUGUGCCACCCCUGUGUCCACGUGAGGGCCCUUGGCACAGUGUAUUGUCACCAUCUCUUUCACUCAGUACUUUAGGAGCUCUCUGAGGGUAGUGCUAGGCCUCCUUAUUUCUGUUUCCCUAGAGCCCAGUCUAGCACUAGAGUGCGGUGGUGAGUGAAUGAAUCAGGGUGGGUUGUGGGAGAAGUGAUGGUGGGGUAAGGUACACUCAGAUUAAAAGGGUAAACUUAAUUAACUGUGUGUAGAAGAGAAGAAUAAAUGCUGUUUUUGUUUAUGCAGGUCUUAAAAUUUUGGUAGCAGAAAGCAAAGGUGCAGAGAGCAAUGGAAACAAGUCAGAAGCUGCUGUCUGAUUCCAGAGAUGUCCACAGUUUAUCACAUGUGAUUUAUGUUGAAACCUUCAACUUAUCCUGAUACCUCAAGUUGCUAAUUUAGUUGAAUAACACCCGGGGAAAUAGGUCAUGAGGACUUUGACCUACAGAAGGCCACAGGUCCUCUAUACAAUGAAACCUAUAGCUGCCCUACUCUAGGCCUAUGAAGCACAGCAUAGCCUGGUGCUGUGGGCCUUCGUGCCACCUGAGGGCCGGCAGGCAGCCAGGCAGGCGCCUUCCCCUCCUUGUGCAUCCGCUCCCCUGUAAGGCUUGUAAGCCUAGUGGUCCUGCUGCCCCUCAUCAUACCCAUUGCAGAUCCUGAGUGAGGCUCUCACCACACACUUGUUCAUGGGCGCAGCAAGAAGAGGGACCCACAGAGAUGGAGCCGUGAGGGCUGACACAUUGGGAGGAAGCUGGCAGAGCGCAUAGGGAGAGCUUCCCAUCCUGCCAGCUCCAUAUCUGCUUCAAGACAGUUCUGUUAGUGAGUUCAUUGUACUUUAAACCCCAAGUUUAUAUGAGCUGGAUGUCACUAAAAAUGAAAUAGAUUCAAAUGACCUACUCUUGCUUCAUCCAGAGUAGCUGUGAAGGAGUGCAGCAGCCACUUAUCUCUGGGGAGUAGCCUGCACCAUGUGUUCCCUGGUUCCAGUAUCCCCUUUGCCCCCAGCAACUUCCCCUUUUUUAAAUUAACAUUCACCAAGCAAUGACCUGUUUAUGUGUUGAUUACUGCCUCCCAAAAGAAUGGAAGCUCCAUGAGAGCAGGGCCUGUGUGUUGUCUCCUCUGUCUCCAGCACAUAGGACAGCCCUUGGCAUAUCAAUAAAUGCUGUUCAGUGAA